GGGCAGGCUGUGGGUGCGUCCAGCCGGACUUUUAAUCCGCGGGUUCGGGGUUCGAUCCCCCGGGGGCCCA
rnacentral:tRNA from 1 species